AAUUUACUCCCUCUGUCCCGAAUUAACUGACGUGGAUUUGUAUAGAUUCUUAUGCAAAUCCACGUCAGUUAAUUCGGGACGGAGGGAGUAUAUG
rnacentral:pre_miRNA from 1 species